rnacentral:lncRNA from 1 species
UUGAAACAUCCUGCAGAAACUUUUAAAUUCUUUCUGAAAUGGAUCACAAGUUUCCCUUUCCCUUUAGACUGAAGUACAGACAGGAUUUCACCUUGCUGUCAUGAUAACUAGUAUGGUCUCAGACAGUAACCACCAGGGCCAGUGACACACAGAACUAGUUGCCCUGCACAGAGGGUCCUCCAGCUGCUAUACCUUUCAACUCUUGUGCCUUUUACAGUUUUUCUGUUUCCUCCUGCUCUGUUUGGUUGUUACUCUUACAUGAGAGUUAGCCUUGUAGCUGCCGUUCACACAGAAGUGUUGUAGUUGAUCAAUUUGGCUGCGCCUGGUUUUAGCCGCAAUACAAGGGAUCUUCCCUCUUCAUUGCGGCAUGCGGGAUCUUUAGUUGCAGCGUGGAGAAUCUGGUGCCCUGNNNNNNNNNNNNNNNNNNNNNNNNNNNNGUUGGGAGCCUACACUGGAGCAUGAGGGUAGACCCUAUAAAACAUUUUUGAAAAGACCACAUUUUGGAGAUUAAAAAUAGAUGAAUGGUUUCCAAAGAUUGGGGAGUGGGUGGGUGGCAGAGAGGUAGGUCUGCCUCUGAAAGGGUAAUGUGGGGAGCUCUGUGGUAAUGGGAGAGUUCUCUACCUUAGCUGUGAUGUUGGCUACACAAAUGUGUACAUGUGAUAAAACUGCAUAGAACUGAACACAUAUAUUGUAACAUUGCUUGUUUCCCAAUCUCAAUUGUGUACUAGAGUUAUGCAAAAUGCUCCUGUAUUAGGGAAAUUGGGUGAAGAGUGAGUAGCACUCUCCCUACAUGUUUUUGCAAUUUCCUGUGAAUCUGCAGUUAUUUCUUCUGUUUUAAAAAACACUUGCUUAAAAAAAAAAAAAACCGUUGAAUUUGUUACAGUAUUACUUCUCUUUUAUAGUUUGAUUUUUUUUGGCUGCAAGGCAUAUGGGAUCUUAGCGCCCCAACCAGGGAUCGAACCCUUACCCCCUGCAUUGGAAGGCUAAGUCUUAACUACUGGACCACCAAGGAAGUCCCUGCAGUUAUUUCAAAAUAAAAAGUUUUUUUUUUAAUAUAGCAACAUUCCUAUGACAUAAUGCUAAAUGCAGAAAGCAAAAUAAAUGUGUUUCUCUCUGUGUGUGUGUACAUGCAUGUACGCUUAAAA